CGCGCAAAUUUUGAGAGACUUACCGCGUGAAAAAAUCCGAGUAUUUAUACUAACCGUAAAAAUGUUUUCUGGGGGAAAAGAAUUAAUUUCUGUAGAACUAGAUAUACAAUAUACGAUUGUAACCUUACAUCCACUAAACGUCGUCAAAAAUGCUGCGUGUUGAUGCCGGGUCACCAUCCGUGAUAUCCUAUCGUACGUGUUUGUCGUGUGAUGUCUAUGUCGUGCAUGUCGAUUGAAGGGAGAUAGGAGAUAGGUUCUACUGCAAGGGCACCGGCCCAUUGGUGCUGU